UACGAAGGGAGCGAGCGUUGUUCGGAAUCACUGGGCUUAAAGCGUGCGUAGGUGGAUUGGUAAGUAAGGAGUGAAAUCCCAGGGCUUAACCCUGGAACUGCUCUUUAGACUGCCUGUCUGGAAUUCGGAAGAGGUUGGUGGAACUCCCAGUGUAGAGGUGAAAUUCGCAGAUAUUGGGAAGAACACCGGUGGCGAAGGCGAUCAACUGGUCCGACAUUGACACUGAGGCACGAAAGCGUGGGUAGCAAACAGG
rnacentral:rRNA from 1 species